CCUACGGGGGGCAGCAGUGGGGAAUAUUGCACAAUGGGCGCAAGCCUGAUGCAGCGACGCCGCGUGAGCGAUGAAGGCCUUCGGGUCGUAAAGCUCUGUCCUAAGGGAAGAAUAAUGACGGUACCUUGGGGGAAACCCCGGCUAAACACGGGCCAGCCGGCGCGGUAACAAGGAGGGGGGGAACGUUAUCCGGAAUCACCGGGCGUAAAGGGGUCGUAGGGCGCCCUGCAAGUCAGGAGUUAAAUCCCUCGGCCCAACCGAGGUCAGCUCUUGAAACUGUAGGGCUUGAGUGCAGGAGAGGAGAGCGGAAUUCCUAGUGUAGCGGUGAAAUGCGUAGAUAUUAGGAGGAACACCAGUGGCGAAGGCGGCUCUCUGGACUGCAACUGACGCUGAGGCACGAAAGCGUGGGGAGCGAACAGGAUUAGAUACCCGGGUAGUC
rnacentral:rRNA from 1 species